rnacentral:rRNA from 1 species
UGCCUAACACAUGCAAGUCGAAUGAGAGAGCGGACUUCGCGUCCGUGAGUAAAGUGGNAGACGGGUGAGUAACACGUGGUGUAACCUGCUCGCGNNUGGGGAGAUAACCCGUCCGAAAGGAGGNCUAAUACCGNAUAACAUCUCAGACUCCUCGGGGUUCGAGAUCNAAACUUGCCUCUUCUUGAAAGCAAGCGCCUGUGAAGGGGCCCGCGCCCCAUUAGCUUGUUGUUGAGGUAACGGCUCACCAAGGNUCCGAUGGGUAGCCGGCCUGAGAGGGUGAUCGGCCACACUGGAACUGAGACAGUAUCNAAACUUAUACGGGAGGCAGCAGUGAGGAAUUUUGCGCAAUGGGCGAAAGCCUGACGCAGCGACGCCGCGUGGAGGACGAAGGUCUUCGGAUCGUAAACUCCUGUCGAGUGGGACGAAACCCGGACGGAUGAAUAAGCCGUUCGAUUGACGGUACCACUGGAAGGAAGCCCCGGCUAACUCCGUGCCCAGCAGCCGCGGUAAUACGGAGGGGGGCCAGCGUUGUUCGGAAUUUAUUGGGCGUAAAGGGCGCGUAGGCGGCUAGGCAAAUUCAAAAGGUGAAAGCCCCUCGGCUCCACCCGAGGAAUUGCCU